AUUAUUAAUCCCAGCAAUAACAUUAGCCAACUCCUAGAUUUAAUACUGGACUAUUCUAUUACUAAAUAGAAGCAAUAAUGUUAAUAUGAGUAACAAGAAAUAUUUUCUCCUCGCACAAGUUUAAGUCAGUAACUGAUAAUACCCUGACCGUUAACAGUAAAUAAAAAUAACCCAACAAUAAAUGAUUUAUUACUUAUACUGUUAACCCAACACAGGAGUGCACCCAGGAAAGAUUCAAAGAAGUAAAAGGAACUCGGCAAACACUAAACCCCGCCUGUUUACCAAAAACAUCACCUCCAGCAUCCCUAGUAUUGGAGGCACUGCCUGCCGGAGGCACUGCCUGCC
rnacentral:rRNA from 1 species